ACGCUGGCGGCAGGCCUAACACAUGCAAGUCGAGCGGUAGCACAGGAGAGCUUGCUCUCUGGGUGACGAGCGGCGGACGGGUGAGUAAUGUCUGGGAAACUGCCUGAUGGAGGGGGAUAACUACUGGAAACGGUAGCUAAUACCGCAUGACCUCGCAAGAGCAAAGUGGGGGACCUUCGGGCCUCACGCCAUCGGAUGUGCCCAGAUGGGAUUAGCUAGUAGGUGAGGUAAUGGCUCACCUAGGCGACGAUCCCUAGCUGGUCUGAGAGGAUGACCAGCCACACUGGAACUGAGACACGGUCCAGACUCCUACGGGAGGCAGCAGUGGGGAAUAUUGCACAAUGGGCGCAAGCCUGAUGCAGCCAUGCCGCGUGUGUGAAGAAGGCCUUCGGGUUGUAAAGCACUUUCAGCGAGGAGGAAGGCGUUGUAGUUAAUAGCUGCAACGAUUGACGUUACUCGCAGAAGAAGCACCGGCUAACUCCGUGCCAGCAGCCGCGGUAAUACGGAGGGUGCAAGCGUUAAUCGGAAUUACUGGGCGUAAAGCGCACGCAGGCGGUUUGUUAAGUCAGAUGUGAAAUCCCCGAGCUUAACUUGGGAACUGCAUUUGAAACUGGCAAGCUAGAGUCUUGUAGAGGGGGGUAGAAUUCCAGGUGUAGCGGUGAAAUGCGUAGAGAUCUGGAGGAAUACCGGUGGCGAAGGCGGCCCCCCUGGACAAAGACUGACGCUCAGGUGCGAAAGCGUGGGGAGCAAAC
rnacentral:rRNA from 1 species